UACAGAGGGUGCAAGCGUUGUUCGGAAUUAUUGGGCGUAAAGCGCGUGUAGGCGGCUUUGCAAGUCGGGUGUGAAAGCCCUCAGCUCAACUGAGGAAGUGCGCCCGAAACUGCAGAGCUUGAGUACCGGAGAGGAUGGCGGAAUUCCCCAAGUAGAGGUGAAAAUUCGUAGAUAUGGGGAGGAACACCGGUGGCGAAGGCGGCCAUCUGGACCGGUUCUGACGCUGAGGCGCGAAAGCGUGGGGAGCAAACAGG
rnacentral:rRNA from 1 species